AACGAACGCUGGCGGCGUGGAUAAGACAUGCAAGUCGAGCGAAGUAUGAGGGGUAGCAAUAUUCCUUAUACUUAGCGGCGAAAGGGUGCGUAACACGUAGAUCAUCUGCCUCCAAGUGUGGGAUAGCCCGACGAAAGCCGGAUUAAUACCGCAUGUGGUCGUGAGAUUAAAGCCGGGGACCGUAAGGCCUGGCGCUUGGAGAUGAGUCUGCGGCCUAUCAGCUUGUUGGCGGGGUAACGGCCCACCAAGGCUAAGACGGGUAGCUGGUCUGAGAGGACGACCAGCCACACUGGAACUGAGACACGGUCCAGACACCUACGGGUGGCAGCAGUCGAGGUAUUUUUCUCAAUGGGCGAAAGCCUGAAGGAGCGACGCCGCGUGGGGAUGAAGGUCUUCGGAUUCGUAAACCCCUGUCACUUGGGAACAAUUGAUCACCAACACGUGAUCCAUUGAUAGUACCAGGAGAGGAAGCAGUGGCUAACUCU
rnacentral:rRNA from 1 species